rnacentral:rRNA from 1 species
AUGGCUCCACCGCCGCCCGCCCCUACGCCGGCGGCGAGGCUACUGAGGGAGUACGGGUGGGACCUGAUGCUGGGUUCUAUCGCCGCGUUCUACGCCGUCAUGGUGCCUUACACCAAGGUGGAGGAGAGCUUCAAUGUGCAGGCCAUGCAUGAUAUUCUGUACCACAAUCAUCACAUCGAGAAGUAUGACCAUUUAGAGUUUCCUGGCGUUGUUCCUCGGACAUUUAUAGGAGCAUUGGUAAUAGCUAUUCUCUCGUCGCCUGCGGUUCUCAUAAUCCGUGUAUUUCAUGUUCCAAAGAUUUAUAGUCUUCUAGCAGUUCGAUUAGUAUUGGGCUGUGUUAUCCUGACGACUUUGAGACUUUUCCGAGUUGAGGUCAAAAGAAAGUUUGGUCGCCAUGUUGAAGCAUUCUUUGUGGUACUAACUGCUAUCCAGUUUCAUGUUUUAUUUUACUCAACUCGGCCUCUUCCAAAUAUCUUAGCAUUGGCUUUAGUUAACUUGGCGUACUCUUUCUGGUUCAAGGGAAAUUAUCUACGCACAUUACAGGCACUGAUUGUUGCAGCCGUUGUUUUUAGAUGUGAUAUGAUUCUACUUCUUGGUACAAUAGGGGCUGCACUUUUGCUGAGCAGGUCUUUUUCUCUAAUGGAAGCCAUAAAGUGUUGCAUAAGCACUGCUCUUUUAUGCAUUGGUUUCACGGUACUGGUUGACUCGAUAAUGUGGCAGAGAAUCCUGUGGCCAGAAUUUGAAGUUUUCUGGUUUAAUUCAGUUCUGAACCGGAGUUCAGAAUGGGGUACACAUUCGAUCCAUUGGUACUUCACCUCAGCACUUCCACGCUCCAUGCUUGUAGCCUAUCCUCUUUGCUUGGUUGGUGCUCUUCUUGAUAGGAGGAUAGUGCCAUACGUGCUUCCAGUCACCUUAUUUGUUGUACUCUAUUCGAAACUUCCACAUAAGGAGCUUCGUUUCAUAAUUGCCGCAGUUCCCAUGCUUAAUGUGUCUGCUUCUCUGGCCGCAAACAGAUUAUAUAAUAACAGAAAGAAAAGUGGUUGGAAUUUCCUUUAUGUUCUCAUGCUUGGUGCCUUUCUUGCCAGUCUUGGAUACUCUGCUGUGAGUUUCAUGGCCUCCUACAGCAAUUAUCCUGGUGGCCAUGCUCUAAAGGCUCUACAUGAAGCAGAUUCUUCUAUGAAGGAAAAAGUGCUCCACAUUGAUGUCUUAACCGCGAUGAGUGGGGUUUCUCGUUUCUGCGAAAAUGAAUACCCUUGGAGAUACUCGAAGGAGGAGGACAUUUCCAUUGAAGAAUAUCAGAAUAGAAAUUUCACCUAUCUACUGAAUGAGCACCGCUACGUUAGUGGCUACAAGUGCUUGUUUGGCGUGGACGGAUUCUCCAGAGCCAGAAUUCAACCCCGGUUUCCACCACUUUCCCUGGUGAAAGUGCCGAAAGUGUUCGCACAUGGGAACACGGGAGAUCCCGGUGUUCUCUCGCUAGAUUGGCCCGGCUGCCCCUGA